rnacentral:rRNA from 1 species
AGUGAACGCUGGCGGUAGGCCUAACACAUGCAAGUCGAACGGCAGCACAGUAAGAGCUUGCUCUUACGGGUGGCGAGUGGCGGACGGGUGAGGAAUACAUCGGAAUCUACUUUUUCGUGGGGGAUAACGUAGGGAAACUUACGCUAAUACCGCAUACGACCUACGGGUGAAAGCAGGGGAUCUUCGGACCUUGCGCGAUUGAAUGAGCCGAUGUCGGAUUAGCUAGUUGGCGGGGUAAAGGCCCACCAAGGCGACGAUCCGUAGCUGGUCUGAGAGGAUGGUCAGCCACACUGGAACUGAGACACGGUCCAGACUCCUACGGGAGGCAGCAGUGGGGAAUAUUGGACAAUGGUCGCAAGCCUGAUCCAGCCAUACCGCGUGGGUGAAGAAGGCCUUCGGGUUGUAAAGCCCUUUUGUUGGGAAAGAAAAGCAGCAGGUUAAUACCCCGCUGUUCUGACGGUACCCAAAGAAUAAGCACCGGCUAACUUCGUG